UUUCUAAAACCCUGCAAAUAUCGCACAAGGUUGAGAAAGACGGGAUUUCCUGUUAUACUGCUGAGCUGCAGAAUUUGAGUUGAGGCGAACCAAGUGUCUAGUCAGUGUCAUCUUUUUUGAUUUCAUGCCUUAGUCACGUAAUACAUUCUGUGCGUGUCCUAGACUACAUCCAGAAGUAGCUAGCUAGCCAGUAAUAAAAAUGUCUGAAUCCACGGUGGCUGAUACUCGCCGGUUAAACUCAAAACCCCAGGAUCUCACGGAUGCUUACGGACCUCCGAGUAAUUUUCUGGAAAUUGACGUCUAUGACCCCCAAACCAUUGGAGUUGGACGGAAUCGUUUCACUACUUAUGAAGUCCGAAUGAGGACUAAUCUCCCCAUUUUCAAGUUGAAGGAGUCUUGUGUACGAAGAAGGUACAGUGACUUUGAGUGGCUGAAAAAUGAGCUGGAAAGAGACAGUAAGAUUGUUGUGCCUCCUCUGCCUGGGAAGGCAUUGAAGAGACAGCUCCCGUUUCGUGGGGAUGAGGGAAUAUUUGAGGAGUCCUUCAUUGAAGAGAGGCGAGUUGGACUCGAACAGUUUAUUAACAGAAUUGCUGGUCAUCCCUUGGCCCAGAACGAGCGCUGUCUUCACAUGUUCCUGCAGGAGGAGAGCAUUGAUCGGAACUACAUCCCAGGAAAAGUAUGAAUGAAACCGCAUGUCAUGAUUGCAUGGUUCUUCAAAGUCUGCUGCAUAAUGUAACAGAUGCUACUGCAAGACUAAGACACCUACUUCCCUUCGAGGACUCCCUCAUCUGUGUGCCGUGUGUAUAUGCUUAGCACGCUCAUUCAGGUGCUCUUAAAGAAGAGAGAUACAUGAUCAAUGAACCCUGAUUUAAAGAAGAAAAAAAAACUGGCAAUUAAAAUCUAAUCUUUUUGACCUGUAAUUUUUUUUUUUUUUUUUUUUUUGAGAUCUUUUAUUGAUAAAAGCCUAGCCAGCCAAUAAUGGUUUGACUAAGCUGUGCAAAUAUGCUAUAUUGCAUGAAUAAUUGUGGGGUUUUAUUUUUUUGGGGGUGGGGGGUGUUUAUAAGUCAGAGUAAGGUCAGUAAGAGUGUGCCUUCAGGGCAGGAAAAAAUGUUCCAUAGUGAGUACCAGAUGUAUGCAGUGUUGUAAAUUCAAGCUUCGCUUGUCAUGUCAGACAGAAAAUUGUUUUUUUCGUGUUCCUCUUUUGGCUUGGAUGUCAUGCAUUUCAGAACAAUUUACAAAAUAGAAAAUGACAGACAGUAAAUUGGGACCAUCCCUUGUAAAAUCAGAUGUAUUCCCUUUCCCCAUUCCAUGUGCCAUUUUAUAUAUAUACUUUUAAAUUGCUCUUUUAUCAAAACAUUUACUGCAAAGGUUGGUUUUUGUUUUGUUUUGUUUUUUUUAAAUACAAACUUCAUAUUUAGUUUAUCUUGGUUUUACAACACUGCUGUUGGGAAUGUACAUAUUCACUCACUGUGAAAAUAAUAAGAUGGCACGUUUUCACAUGUCUGUCUAGAUUAUUUCUGUUAUUUUUGUCAUAUUGCUUAUUCAAGACUGUACUAUUAACCUGUUAAGUGCAGUAGUUAUUUUCAUGUAUCCCUGUAAUUUCUUCAAGUAAAUAAAAUUCCUUCUGCCUUCUUCCUUAA